AUCCUUUCUGGUUCAUAAAGCGUGAUGAUUGGGUGUUCACGCUAUUGCGUGACAUGUGCCGCCCAUAAACCUUGUUACGACGUGGGCACAUUACCCGUCUGAUA
ensembl:snoRNA Snord13 small nucleolar RNA U13